ensembl:snRNA U2 U2 spliceosomal RNA
AUCGCUUCUCGGCCUUUUGGCUAAAAUCAAGUAUAGUAUCUGUUCUUAUCAUUUUAAUAUCUGAUAAUACUGCUAAUUAAAAGGAAGAAAGGCAGGAUUUCAGUCUGUGUUUGUUGCAUUAGGUAGGUCACUUUGGGUAGUGCAAAUAUAUAGAGCAAAUACACUUGGCAAUCUGGCUGUACUAAAAGUAGUGGCAAGCCAAUA